GACGAACGCUGGCGGCGUGCUUAACACAUGCAAGUCGAACGGAAAGGCCCCUUUGGGGGUACUCGAGUGGCGAACGGGUGGGUAACACGUGCGUAACCUACCCUUGACUUCGGGAUAACUUCAUUCAACUGAGGCGAAUACCUACUAGGAAUCCUUUCUUCCUGGUGGGUGUGGGAAAGCUUCGGCGGGUUUGGAUGGAAUCGCUGGCUAUCUGCUUGGUGGUGGGGUGGGGGCUUACCAAGGCGUUGUCGGGUGGCCGGCCGGAGAGGGCGAGCGGCCACAUUGGGACUGAGAGAAGGCCCAGACUCCCACGGGGGGCAGGAGUGGGGAAUAUUGGACAAGGGGCGGGAGCCGGAUGCAGCAACGCCGCGGGCGGGAUGACGGGCUUCGGGUUGGAAACCGGUUUCAGCAGGGGCGAAGCUUGUGGUGACGGUACCUGCAGAAGAAGCACCGGCUAACUACGUG
rnacentral:rRNA from 1 species